rnacentral:rRNA from 1 species
AUUGAACGCUGGCGGCAGGCCUAACACAUGCAAGUCGAGCGGUAGAGAGGUGCUUGCAUCUCUUGAGAGCGGCGGACGGGUGAGUAAUGCCUAGGAAUCUGCCUAGUGGUGGGGGAUAACGUUCGGAAACGGACGCUAAUACCGCAUACGUCCUACGGGAGAAAGCGGGGGGAUCUUCGGACCUCGCGCCAUUAGAUGAGCCUAGGUCGGAUUAGCUAGUUGGUGAGGUAAUGGCUCACCAAGGCGACGAUCCGUAACUGGUCUGAGAGGAUGAUCAGUCACACUGGAACUGAGACACGGUCCAGACUCCUACGGGAGGCAGCAGUGGGGAAUAUUGGGACAAUGGGCGAAAGCCUGAUCCAGCCAUGCCGCGUGUGUGAAGAAGGUCUUCGGAUUGUAAAGCACUUUAAGUUGGGAGGAAGGGUAGUAACCUAAUACGUUGACUACUUUGACGUUACGACAGAAUAAGCACCGGCUAACUUCGUGCCAGCA